AAUUCGCCCUUAGAGUUUGAUCCUGGCUCAGGAUGAACGCUGGCGGCGUGCCUAACACAUGCAAGUCGAGCGAUGAAAUUUCCUUCGGGAAAUGGAUUAGCGGCGGACGGGUGAGUAACACGUGGGUAACCUGCCUCAUAGUGGGGGAUAGCCUUCCGAAAGGGAGAUUAAUACCGCAUAACAUCAUUAAAUGGCAUCAUUUAGUGAUCAAAGGAUUUAUUCGCUAUGAGAUGGACCCGCGUCGCAUUAGCUAGUUGGUAAGGUAAUGGCUUACCAAGGCGACGAUGCGUAGCCGACCUGAGAGGGUGAUCGGCCACAUUGGGACUGAGACACGGCCCAGACUCCCUACGGGAGGGAGCAGUGGGGAAUAUUGCACAAUGGGGGAAACCCUGAUGCAACCACCGCCGCGUGAAGUGAUGACGGUCCUCGGAUUUGGAAAGCUCCGGUCUUUUGGGGACGAUAAUGGCGGUUCCCCAGGGAAGGAACCCCCGGGUUAAUUCGUGCCCGCAACCCCGGGAAAACCUAAGGGGGGAAGCCGUUUCCCGGAAAUAUUGGGCCCAAAAGGGAGCGUAGGCGGAUAAAUAAAGUGGGAAUUUGAAAAUACUCAGGCUCAACCUGGGGGCUGCCAUUUCCAAACUGAUUAUUAGGAGUGCCGGAGAGGAGAGUGGAAUUCCUAGUGUAGCGGUGAAAUGCGUAGAGAUUAGGAAGAACACCAGUGGCGAAGGCGACUCUCUGGACUGUAACUGACGCUGAGGCUCGAAAGCGUGGGGAGCAAACAGGAUUAGAUACCCUGGUAGUCCACGCCGUAAA
rnacentral:rRNA from 1 species